AACGUAGGAGGCAAGCGUUAUCCGGAGUUACUGGGCGUAAAGCGCGUGCAGGUGGAUUGGUAAGUUACUUAUAAAAGCUCCUGGCUAAACUAGGAGAGGUUGGGUGAUACUGCCAGUCUAGAAUAGAGGAGAGGUUGACGGAAUUCCGCGUGUAGUGGUGAAAUGCGUAGAGAUGCGGAAGAACACCAGUGGCGAAGGCGGUCAACUGGCCUCAUAUUGACACUCAGACGCGAAGGCAUGGGUAGCGAACGGG
rnacentral:rRNA from 1 species